UCCUACGGGAGGCAGCAGUCGAGGAUCAUUCGCAAUGCGCGAAAGCGUGACGAUGCGACGCUGCGUGGAGGAUGACGGCCCUAGGGUUGUAAACUCCUGUCAUUCGGGAAAAAUUGCUCAAGGUUAAUACCCUUGGGAAGCGAUGGUACCGGAAGAGGAAGCCACGGCUAACUCUGUGCCAGCAGCCGCGGUAAUAC
rnacentral:rRNA from 1 species